rnacentral:lncRNA from 1 species
AAACAGCUUUCCCAAGCCGAUUCCUUCCUUAACAAGAUCCAAAAUUACCAAAUGAUAUCAAUAUUUUGAAAUAAAAUACCAAGCUAGGAUACAAAAUAGACUAUCUUGCAGUCCAAAUUGAUUCCUCUAAAAUGGAUUCUCUGGUGCUCAGGAGGAUAUAGCAAAUUCUCAAAGUUAUCCCUUAGGCAAUUCCUUGAUCCAUUUUCUUAAUUGAUUUUAUAAGAAUAAUGGAAACAUUUCAAACCUAUGGAAAAGGCUACAUAUUAAUUCAAUUGAGAUCCAUAAACCAUAAUCCUUUCCUUCUACAGAAGAGCCCUUAAUUCGCAAGAAGUGGAAACACAUGAACAAAACGAGCAUUGGACCAAAGGUAUCAAUAAUAGCAAUAAUUUUGUUAUAUUUGUAAAUGUUUUGGUUUGUUUACCCUAUACUUUCGUUCUUCCCAAUUGUAAAAUAGAAUGAAUUUCAACAAAAGCCUGUAAAUAUGUAAAGGUGUUCUCUAACAAACUACAGACAAAAAAAUUAGUUUCUCAUCUAAAAAAAGAAGAGGGUAAAGAAUUUUUAGUGUAAUUAUCUUCAAGAAUAAAGAACGAUUCUUUUCAUGGAUGUAGGCUUUGUUUGUCGAACUACAGUUAAAACUGUGUAGCAUCUCUUCUAACUCCCUUAUAUUCGUAUUGUUGUGUGUGUGCAUCAUCUACUCACCAAACCGUAAAGAAACAAAUUAGGGUUUGUAAUGGGAGUGAAGAAGAAGGAAGAAUAAAAGAAAGAGGUAUUUUCUUUUCAUUCCUUCCCCCUUUUCUUUAAUUCGUAACUUGCCGUGAACCACGUGUAUGGCUGACCACCAACAAAGGACGUGGCUUCAUCCCCUCUAAGUCUUGUGCUACAAGAUGUCUAUCACUUCCUUGGGCCUAAUUCAAAAUAGAAAAGCCCAACACCAUUAAUAUGUACUUUAUAAUUUAACAUUUUCCUUUUUUGUUAUCGGCUAUCAACAUCAAAAUUGAGAGCUACGUUGGUUUUGGGUUUGGGUUUGGGUCUGUGUAGAUUAAUAUAUAAUAUAUUCAUUCGAACUCUUACAAAAAUUGUUCCUAGAAGACAUUCUUCAAGAAAAUAUAUAUAUAUAUUAUUCUUUCUUAAAAACAAACUUAAAGUUUCCUGAAAAAACAAUCAACCCAUUUUAGAGUAACUAUGGCUUUUGUAUUAAAUUUCUCAAACAAGUAUAUAUAUGUAAGAAAAUAAUGAACGUUGAUGGUUGUUAGGGUCCGUAGAAGAGUGAUCGUACCUAGUUUAAGCACAUUCCCA